ACAAGCUUACUGUGCGCUCUUCUAUAAAUUUCAGUUACAAAACGAGAAAUGCAGACAAAAGAAGAAAUGCAGACACCAGAGUAAACCUUAACCCAAUUUUCGGCCCGCACACCAGCCCAAAUCAUUUUAGUCCCAAACUCUAGAUCGCCGAUCGUCGCCUUCUGCAGCCAGCCACCACCCCGAUCGCCGCUGUAAACACUACCGCCACCAAGCACCUGGGAACCACCGGAAAAUACGACCGAAAACACUACCAAACCACAACACAAUUACCGCACAGCCACCAAACGUGGUAAUACGCAACCGCGAACGCCGCCAAACUGCAACCGCAACCAUAAUCACAGCAGUAAAAGCCACCAAAUCGCCGCCGCAAAAACCCCUAAACGCCGCCAAACACACCUCUUGCAUCUAUCUCCCCCGGUAAUCUCGGAAAUAUCCUAGAAAACACCACAACCGUGAACGGCACCACAUUCAACUCCACCAGAAACUGCUGGAAAAACCAUAGAAACAUCACACUGCCCCCGCCACCACCGAUUAGAUUCACAGCCUCCAAAGCCGGGGAAUUACCACCGCAAGCAACAACAAUUACCGCACAGCCACCAAACGCCUCCAAGCAUCGACGAUGUCUUCAUCCUUGAGCCCGACAUAUUAUGUCCUAAUAGUGGGGAAGUGAUAUGGACUUCAGUUAAGCUGCCCAAUGGAGAAGAGUUGAGAUAUCGGACAAACUUUAUUGAGCUCCGUCUUAUAGAAUGCGAAAAUAAGUUGGACAAAAAAGUUUAUACAGUGAAAAAAAUAUCUUUGAAGGCUGCCAAUAUGUCUUUUCAGAAAAUCUUAAGGUUCGGUGCAUUUGGCGUUGUGGCAAAAAGCAAGAAUGUGUUGGACAAAAAGGUUUAUGCAGUAAAAAAAAUUUCCUUGAUGGCUGCCAACAUGUUUUUCGAGAAAAUUUUGAGGUACAAUAUACAAUUUUCAAUUACAAAUUUUUCUACUUGUUAUAAAAAUUUCAUGUAUAAACUAUUAUAUGUUAGUUAAAAGAGUUUGUAUAAACAUUUUCAUAUAGGAAUCAUCAUUAAAUAUAUGCUAAAGUACGUUACGUUUGUGUACAAAUUGCAUGCUUAAUAAAUAAACUUAAUAGAUAAAGACUGAAUUGUAAUUCGAUAAUUUAUUACCUGAAAAUAUCAUUAACAAAUAAAAAUUAGCAUCCUAUUAUAAAUAAGCAUAACUUUUUUGAAAGAAUAUUGAAUUCUCAUGGACUGCAAAAACUUAGUAAAACGUGAGACAUUCCACAUUAUCGUUAGUUGUAAAUAGUUUUUAUUUCAUAUUACAUAAUAUCAGACUAUGAUAUUAUAAAAAAAUAAUAAAAUAAAAAUUCAAAUUUAGAUAUGCAAAUCAUAAUUGUGAACUAAGAUUACUAAUUUCAACAGAUUGUAAUUUCAUUUACAUUUAGUUUUGGUGAUUUAUCGCCUUAACUCUUACAUAUGAUUUAUCAAUGCCCACCAACACUGCAGACUACCCACCACCAUAACAUUCUCUUUAAAUUAUCUUCCCCAUCAUUCAUCUUGUAGGCCAUCCUUAUAAUUUCUAAUUGAUUUGUUCUCACGCAAACACAACUACAGGAAACGAAUACAAUGAUUUCUAUUUGAUAAAUCACCAAAACUAAAUGUAAAUAGAAUUACAAUCUGUUGAAAUUAGUGAUAUUAGUUCACAAUUAUGAUUUGCAUAUCUAAAUUUGAAUUUUUACUUUAUUAUUUUUUUUAUAAUAUCCAAGUUUGAUAUUAUGUAUUAUGAAAUAAUUACUAUUUACAACUGAUGUUAAUAUGACAUGUCUUACAUUUUACUAAGUUUUUGAAAUCCAUUAGAAUUCAGUAUUCUUUCAAAAAAAGUUACGCUUAUUUACAAUAGGAUGCUAAUUUUUAUUUGUUAACAAUAUUUUCAGGUAAUUAAAUAUGGAAUUACAAUCCAGUCUUUUUCUAUUGAGUUUAUUUAUUAAGCAUGCAAUUGUACACAAAUGUACUCUAGUAUAUGUUUCAUUAUUCCUAUAUGAAAAUGUUUACACACACUCUUUUAACUAAUAUAUAAUAGUUUAUACGUGCAAUUUUAUAACAAGUAGAAAAAAUUGUAUAUUGUACCUCAAAAUUUUCUCAAAAGACACAUUGGCAAUCAUCAAGGAAAUUUUUUUUACUGCAUAAACUUUUUUGUCCAACAUAUUCUCGCUUUUUGCCACAAUCCCAAAUGCAUCGAACCCUGCAUAAAGUAUCCUCAAGAAUCACAGAACUAAUCUAGGACUGUGAAGAAAUGAAGUUGUUGUACAAAAAAGCAAAGCGUAAACUAUUACAUAUACAACCAAACUCGUUAAAGUUUGUUAGAUAUCUCGACUCUUCUCCACCGGAUAGCUUAACUGAAGUCCAUAUCACGUUCCCAUUAUUAGGACAUAAUAUGUCGGAGUUCAAGGAUGAAGACAUCUACACAACCAUUCAAUAUAAAAAAGAGUUUCAGUGUUUAUAGAGCACAAUUUACUUGUAAAGAGUUAUGUUGUCAAAAACCAUUUAACUUGUUUAUGUAAAUUCAAAUUGAAUCUUACUCAAGACGUAGUUCUUUUAAUACAUGAUUAUCUAUCCAUUGCAAUAGAUUCUAGAGUAAAAAAUUCUUCCACAGGAGAAAUUUUAAGGGAGCCAGAAGUUCACCUAUAUUGUUACACAAUUAUAGUGUCAACUAACAAAACAGAAUCACCUAGAUAGGUUAGAGUCUUUUAAAAAAAACCUUCUUGUAAAGUUAGUUGUACAACAUUGGAGGCUAUUUUUUAGGUAAGCAAAUUGAUAGCCAGAAUCAGCCCUCAAAACAAUAAUGAGGUUUGUCUUUCGCAAACAAUUUCUGUUAUGGAACAGAGUAUGUCUCAACUAUUUUUCAACGUCAAUAAAGAGGAGAAAAAGAAAGAGCAAUAUUACUUAAAAACUAAUAGUGCAAACUCAACAAAUUACUCCGUGAUGUUAUAGGCAAAAUUAGAAAAUGGACAAUCAUGUAAUCAUUCGUGUAGAGAAUUCCACCAGCUCUACAUUCUAGACGCCCCUCAUUUGGCCUCUUCCGUAACCUGAAUUUUAUGUAAGUUUAAGCUUUGUAAUUUUUUUAUUAACUUUUUCAUUACCCUGAAAUUAGCUACCAUUAUUCUCAUGAAUCUCCGAGCAAGAAAGGAUAGUGCAUGCUAACUGGUGGAAAGGACUUGAGAUCAAGAGUGGUGAGGGAAAUAUAGUCAUAUUCUUGCCGCUUAUUCUACUGCCGUGACUUUUUCUUUGGGAAAAGAGAUUUGCGAUCCGUGGGCCUUCUACCUCCACACGGCAGUGCUUUGUUCAACAUGCAAGGAGAUAAAUGAGGCAAUGCAAAUUAUCAAUUGUUAAGUAGUGUGACUUUGAGAGAUGUAAAACCAGUAACAUAAUAUACUGAUACGGUCAAGAAAACAAGGGGCAGAGGGUUCAUGGGCAUCCUAAAGCAAUACAAAACUGAUUGUUCAAUUGAUGGAGAAACAAGAAUUAGAUUGAGCUAAAACUUGCAGAUAAUUUGUUCAAAAUCUCCAUGAGUUGGAGUUUUAGACGGCCGGCAUGUUGAAGGUUAUGUUGGGAGUCAUCGCUCUUUACAAGUUGGACCUUGGAAGUAUUCCUUUUGAGUUAGAUCACUAUUUUCGAGGUUGACCUGGUGCGGCCCAGCAUAGAUCGGAGCACAAGGAUGAGCACUGUCCUCUCUAAAGAUAUCACAGAUUUGUAGUGUGGUUGAAUCAUAAAUGAACUACGGAUUGGAAUUUACAGAAGACCAAAGGUCUUUGCUAGUUUUCUGAUAAUUUCAAAAGGAGUCAAACUGUUUGAGAGAUUCCAUUAGGUUUAUAAGCAUCUUUUAGAAGGCUUUUAAUUGAAUCUCUGGCUUGUGGCACUCUUCACCUUGCCAAACAUUAAAUUCGAUGAUUAGAUGCACGACAGCUAGCGGAAUAGGAUAGAAAGCCCCAACUAGAGUGGUUAGUAAAAGUGACUGAGGAAUUCAGAGGUGGUCCAACCUAAGUGUAAGGGUGAGGGCAUUGGUAAGCCUAGUGAAUGGACUGGGGAUGUGACUGUCUAAAAUAGGUGAGUUAACGGAAUGCACAUCUCCCAUUAUGAAAAUAAAGAUAUUUUUCAAGUUCUAAGGUCUAAUGAUAUGCUUCCACUAAAGAAUUGCGAGUUUAGUGAAACUUCAAACUCAAUACCAGGCUUCCAUUGAUGAAACUAAUGGCCGUGAGAUAAGGAUCUUCGUGAAUAUAACUAAACGUCAACGUCUCAAAAUGAGUCAUGUACUGAACCAUAGUGGAAGAACCCGAUAAUUGGUUGAGGAAGUUAUCUAACAAUUGGGUUUUAUACGGCAGGAACAUAUUUUUCUAUUACUAGCAUUUCGUUUUGUCUCCUUCAAUGAUAGGGCCUGACCUGAUCAUUCAAAUGAGCACACUGGGUGUCGUGCAUGCCAUACCAAUCAAACUACCUUAUGGGCAAUUGAGAAAGACCUCGGGGUCAAUGAGACCAUAAAAAGUUGGCGACUCUAGUUUGACUUUCUAAGUGACACAAUUAUCGUCCUCAAUGUUGUGCCUAGUGUGUGUAGAUGGGUGGGAACAACGUAAGAGAAGACACGUGUUAUCAUGCUAUCGAUCACCAAAGAGGUCGUCGAUCUCAACAUCGUCUCCACGAUUGGUAAGCAAGGGGGUGUGGGUAAGAGACAAGAUCAGGGGUUUUUAAGUCCUCUAUGUGGUGGGUGCCUAACAUUUUAGUCUAAGAUAAACUGAUCACCUCGUUCUUGCAAUAGUUACCAGAGUACAUAAAAGAUAGUGACAAUGGUUUAAACUCUAGCUUAAUUAUAUUAGACAACUUUUUCUUGGAAGAAGAUUAGUUAUUGAACAUAUUUUUUAGAUGGUGUGGUAAUUUUUCAAGUUUUAGUGCGGCGAUACUGUUGGGAGUUUUAAUCAAAAUUAACAACAGCAAUAAACAGCUGUGUAUUUUUUUAAAUUGAAAAUUUUCAGACUACUAGUAAGGAGAGACUCAAAUUUGGGUUUUUAUUUUUAUUUUUAUUUCCAGAUUAUGACCUAUUACAAUGAAGCGAAAAUUUAGAUUUUUGUUUGUUAAACAUCAUAUAUGCCAACCACGUAAUUUUAAAUAAAUGAACUCAUAUUACCUCAGACGUGGCUGUGUGGUAAUUGGUGUUGUUUGCGGUGGUAAUUUGCUUGUUUUGAUGGCUAUGAAUCUAGACGAUAGUGGCGUUGGAAGGGUGAUAUUUCUAUGGUUUUUGUGGCAGUUACUGGUGGAGGUAAAUAUAGCGGUGUUCGCGAUUGUAAUGUUUCCUAGGGUUUUUUUCGAGUAUACUAGUGGAGGUAGAUGUGUGAGGUGUGUUUGAUGACGUUUGGGGGUGUCUUCGGCAGCGGUUUGGUGGCGUUUAUGUUUGUUGUUUCGGUUGUGGUUUGACGGCGGUUUGGUGAUUGUUGCAGUUUGGCGGCGUUUGGUAGUGUGUGCGGUGGUGAUUUUUCGGCGUUUAGUGCCUGUGAAUAUACACUGUGUUGGGUGUGGGAGAGUGAUGAUGGUUCUAAGUUUUUCCUUGCGGUUUCUGGUGGAGGUAGACUUGUCGGCGUUCACUGUUGUCGAUUGGCGGUAUUUGUCGGUCUUUGCUGUGGUGGUUCCUAGGUGCUUGGUGGCGGUGGGAGGCUAGUGUUUGCGGUGGCGAUCAUGACUGUAGACGGCGACGAUCGAAAAUCUAUAGUUUGGUACUAAACUCGUUUUGGCUAGUGUGUGGGCUACAAUUUGGGCUAGGGUCAAUUCUAGUGUUAGCGUUUCUCUUCUUUUGUUAGGCUACGAAAUGGACUAGGUUUUGGGUUUUAAAGGUUGAAUUUUGGGCAACUUACAAAAAUACCCUUAAAAUUAGAGGUGUUUUGAAAAAUCAUAUAAGAAGUUUUUUUUGAAGUAAAAAAUAACGUGUAAAAUCAAAAAGUGACACAGUACCACUUUAAUAAAAAAAUAAAAAAAAACUGACACAAACGCAUAAAAAGUGACAAAAUUCAAAAAAAAAGUGACAAAAACUCAAAACAAUGACAAACUUGUCAAAGCUAGCACCAUCCAUUUGUGUAGCACCAAUAAUCAUAUUCUUAACAUAAUUAGUAUAUCUAGAACAAUCUACACUAGUUUAGUGGCAGUUCUUAACAUAAUCAGCAUGUCUAGGACAAUUCACAUGCUGAUUAUGUUAGGAAAAUUUAACAUAUCAUGUUAUUUUUUUAUCUUAUUAAGUAAGUGACAAAUUUGAAAGGUGACAAAAACUCAAAAAAAGUGACAAUGUCACUUUCAAAAGUUUAGUGUCACAUUUUUAUGAAAAAAUGACAUGCAAUGUAUCUUUUUAUUAAGAGGUAAUAUUUGUCACUAAAAAAAAGUGAUAGAAAUUGCAAGAAUGCGAUUGAUAAAAAAGUGACAACUACUAAAAAAAAAGUGACAAAAAUUUUAGAAAAAAGUGACAAAUAUUAAAAAAAGCGACAAAAA